AGAGUUUGAUCCUGGCUCAGGACGAACGCUGGCUGCGUGCUUAACACAUGCAAGUCGAACGCUGAAGCCUGGGUGCUUGCAUCUGGGCGGAUGAGUGGCGAACGGGUGAGUAACACGUGAGUAACCUGCCCCUGAUUUCGGGAUAAGCCCGGGAAACUGGGUCUAAUACCGGAUACGACCACGGGACGCAUGUUCUGUGGUGGAAAGUUUUUUCGAUUGGGGAUGGGCUCGCGGCCUAUCAGUUUGUUGGUGGGGUAAUGGCCUACCAAGGCGACGACGGGUAGCCGGCCUGAGAGGGCGACCGGCCACACUGGGACUGAGACACGGCCCAGACUCCUACGGGAGGCAGCAGUGGGGAAUAUUGCACAAUGGGGGAAACCCUGAUGCAGCGACGCAGCGUGCGGGAUGACGGCCUUCGGGUUGUAAACCGCUUUCAGCAGGGAAGAAGCCGUGAGGUGACGGUACCUGCAGAAGAAGUACCGGCUAACUACGUG
rnacentral:rRNA from 1 species